UACGUAGGGUGCAAGCGUUGUCCGGAAUUAUUGGGCGUAAAGAGCUCGUAGGCGGUUUGUCGCGUCGGCUGUGAAAACCCGGAGCUCAACUCCGGGCCUGCAGUCGAUACGGGCAGACUUGAGUGUUGCAGGGGAGACUGGAAUUCCUGGUGUAGCGGUGAAAUGCGCAGAUAUCAGGAGGAACACCGGUGGCGAAGGCGGGUCUCUGGGCAGUAACUGACGCUGAGGAGCGAAAGCGUGGGGAGCGAACAGG
rnacentral:rRNA from 1 species